rnacentral:rRNA from 1 species
GAUGAACGCUAGCGGCAGGCCUAACACAUGCAAGUCGAGGGAGAGGUUAUCUUCGGGUAACCAAAACCGGCGCACGGGUGCGUAACGCGUAUACAAUCUGCCUUUCACAUAGGGAUAGCCCGAAGAAAUUUGGAUUAAUACCUAAUGGUAUAUAAGAGCGGCAUCGUUUUUAUAUUAAAGCUACGGUGGUGAAAGAUGAGUAUGCGUUCUAUUAGCUAGUUGGAGAGGUGACGGCUCCCCAAGGCGACGAUGGAUAGGGGUUCUGAGAGGGAUGUCCCCCACACUGGUACUGAGAUACGGACCAGACUCCUACGGGAGGCAGCAGUGAGGAAUAUUGGACAAUGGUCGGAAGACUGAUCCAGCCAUGCCGCGUGCAGGAUGAAGGUCCUAUGGAUUGUAAACUGCUUUUGUAAGGGAAGAAUAAGGAGUACGUGUACUUUGAUGACGGUACCUUACGAAUAAGCAUCGGCUAACUCCGUGCCAGCAGCCGCGGUAAUACGGAGGAUGCGAGCGUUAUCCGGAAUCAUUGGGUUUAAAGGGUCCGUAGGCGGGCUGAUAAGUCAGAGGUGAAAGCGCUUAGCUCAACUAAGCAACUGCCUUUGAAACUGUCAGUCUUGAAUGAUUGUGAAGUAGUUGGAAUGUGUAGUGUAGCGGUGAAAUGCUUAGAUAUUACACAGAACACCGAUAGCGAAGGCAUAUUACUAACAAUUUAUUGACGCUGAUGGACGAAAGCGUGGGGAGCGAACAGG